GAUGAACGCUGGCGGCGUGCCUAAUACAUGCAAGUCGAGCGAACAGACGAGUAGCUUGCUCCUCUGACGUUAGCGGCGGACGGGUGAGUAACACGUGGAUAACCUACCUAUAAGACUGGGAUAACUUCGGGAAACCGGAGCUAAUACCGGAUAAUAUAUUGAACCGCAUGGUUCAAUAGUUAAAGACGGUUUUGCUGUCACUUAUAGAUGGAUCCGCGCCGCAUUAGCUAGUUGGUAAGGUAACGGCUUACCAAGGCAACGAUGCGUAGCCGACCUGAGAGGGUGAUCGGCCACACUGGAACUGAGACACGGUCCAGACUCCUACGGGAGGCAGCAGUAGGGAAUCUUCCGCAAUGGGCGAAAGCCUGACGGAGCAACGCCGCGUGAGUGAUGAAGGUCUGCGGAUCGUAAAACUCUGUUAUUAGGGAAGAACAAAUGUGUAAGUAACUAUGCACGUCUUGACGGUACCUAAUCAGAAAGCCACGGCUAACUACGUG
rnacentral:rRNA from 1 species